CUUUGUCCUCAGCUUUAGGGUGCCGCGCAAUAAUCCAGAAUUGCCGGAUAAUAGGGAAUCGUGUGAAAUCCACGGGCUGUCCCCGCAACUGUAAGCUCCUUUACGUUCUUCCUCCUACAGUACCACUGUUCCUUAGGAAUGGGAAGGUUUGAAGAAUUUGGGAGCAAGCCAGGAAACCUGCCUUAAUGCACAAAUGCCG
rnacentral:ncRNA from 2 species